rnacentral:snoRNA from 1 species
AACUCCUGUUUCUGCCCCACAUUUCGUAUGCUUCCAUGAAAUGAUGGGUUCUGGUGAUGGAGAAGAGUAAGCCAUGCGAUAACCUUUCUGCAAUUUUGAUACACCCGCAUUUAGGUUUUUGAAUGGAUCGUGUGAAUGCAUUGUAUUGCUUGUUGUGCUCCAUCUUGAGCAAUGAGACAUGAUGCUUCGCUACAUAU